GUGCUCACUUUGGCAGCACGUAUACUAAAAUUGGAAUGAUACAGAGAAGAUCAGCAUAGCCCCUGUGCAAGAAUGAAAUGCAAAUUCAUGAAAUGGUCCAUAUUUUU
ensembl:snRNA U6 U6 spliceosomal RNA